GUGAAAGGCCAAUCAAACCGGGAGAUAGCUGGUUCUCCCCGAAAUCUAUUUAGGUAGAGCCUCGGACGAAUUCCAUUGGGGGUAGAGCACUGUUAAGGCUAGGGGGUCAUCCCGACUUACCAACCCUUUGCAAACUCCGAAUACCAAUGAGAACUAUCCGGGAGACACACGGCGGGUGCUAACGUCCGUCGUGGAGAGGGAAACAACCCAGACCGCCAGCUAAGGUCCCAAAAUAUUGCUAAGUGGGAAACGAUGUGGGAAGGCAUAGACAGCUAGGAGGUUGGCUUAGAAGCAGCCACCCUUUAAAGAAAGCGUAAUAGCUCACUAGUCGAGUCGGCCUGCGCGGAAGAUGUAACGGGGCUAAGCAAUAUACCGAAGCUGCGGCAGCAUGUUUACAUGCUGGGUAGGGGAGCGUUGUGUAAGUGGAUGAAGGUGAGUUGUAAAGCUUGCUGGACAUAUCACAAGUGCGAAUGCUGACAUGAGUAACGAUAAUGGGAGUGAAAAACUCCCACGCCGGAAGACCAAGGUUUCCUGUCCCAUGCUAAUCAGGGCAGGGUAAGUCGGCCCCUAAGGCGAGGCAGAAAUGCGUAGUCGAUGGGAAACGGGUUAAUAUUCCCGUACUUAUAUAAUCAGUGAUGGAGGGACGGAGAAGGCUAGGCAAGCUUGGCGUUGGUUGUCCAAGUGAAAGUGUGUAGGCUGGAAUUUUAGGUAAAUCCGGAAUUCUAAGGCCGAGACACGAGACGAGCUCCCAAGGGAGUGAAGUUGUUGAUGCCCUGCUUCCAGGAAAAGCUUCUAAACUUAUGAUUAUAUGAACCGUACCCCAAACCGACACAGGUGGUCAGGUAGAGAAUACUAAGGCGCUUGAGAGAACUCGGGUGAAGGAACUCGGCAAAAUUGUACCGUAACUUCGGGAGAAGGUACGCCUCUGUUUGUGAACACCUCGCGUGGUAAGCAAAUGGAGGCCGCAGUGACCAGGUGGCUGGGACUGUUUAUUAAAAACACAGCACUCUGCAAACUCGUAAGAGGACGUAUAGGGUGUGACACCUGCCCGGUGCCGGAAGGUUAAUUGAUGGGGUUAGUUUUCUUAACGAAGCUCUUGAUCGAAGCCCCGGUAAACGGCGGCCGUAACUAUAACGGUCCUAAGGUAGCGAAAUUCCUUGUCGGGUAAGUUCCGACCUGCACGAAUGGUGUAACCAUGGCCACGCUGUCUCCACCCGAGACUCAGUGAAAUUGAAAUCGCAGUGAAGAUGCUGUGUACCCGCACCUAGACGGAAAGACCCCGUGAACCUUUACUACAGCUUGGCACUGAACAUUGAACCUACAUGUGUAGGAUAGGUGGGAGGCUUUGAAGCACAGUCGCUAGAUUGUGUGGAGCCGUCCUUGAAAUACCACCCUUGUAUGUUUGAUGUUCUAACAUAGUUCCCUUAUCGGGAAUGUGGACAGUGUCUGGUGGGUAGUUUGACUGGGGCGGUCUCCUCCCAAAUAGUAACGGAGGAGCACGAAGGUUAGCUAAUCACGGUCGGA
rnacentral:rRNA from 1 species